rnacentral:rRNA from 1 species
CCGGCGUACAGGUGCUGCAUGGCUGUCGUCAGCUCGUGCUGUGAAGUGUUGGGUUAAGUCCCGCAACGAGCGCAACCCCUGCUAUCUGUUGCCAGCAAGUGAUGGUUGGGGACUCAGAUGGAACUGCCGGUGACAACCGGAGGAAGGUGGGACGACGUCAAGUCAUCAUGGCCCUUAUGUCCUGGGCUACACACGUGCUACAAUGGCCGGUACAGAGCGCAGCGAAGCCGCGAGGACAAAGCGAAUCGCAAAAAGCCGGUCUCAGUACGGAUUGGAGUCUGAAACCCGACUCCAUGAAGUUGGAAUCGCUAGUAAUCGCGCAUCAGCAUGGCGCGGUUGAAUACGUUCCCGGGCCUU